rnacentral:rRNA from 1 species
GGAGGGUGCAAGCGUUAUCCGGAUUCACUGGGUUUAAAGGGUGCGUAGGCGGAAUGGAAAGUCCGUUGUGAAAUCUCCGAGCUUAACUCGGAAAUUGCGGUGGAUACUAUCAUUCUUGAAUACUGUGGAGGUUAGCGGAAUAUGUCAUGUAGCGGUGAAAUGCAUAGAUAUGACAUAGAACACCAAUUGCGAAGGCAGCUGGCUACACAGAUAUUGACGCUGAGGCACGAAAGCGUGGGGAUCAAACAGGAUUAGAUACCCUGGUAGUCCACGCCCUAAACGAUGAUUACUCGACAUUUGCGAUACACAGCAAGUGUCUGAGCGAAAGCAUUAAGUAAUCCACCUGGGAAGUACGACCGCAAGGUUG